GAUGAACGCUAGCGGCAGGCUUAACACAUGCAAGUCGAGGGGUAGAGGUUGCUUGCAACCUUGAGACCGGCGCACGGGUGCGUAACGCGUAUGCAACCUACCUUUUACAGAGGGAUAGCCCAGAGAAAUUUGGAUUAAUACCUCAUAGUAUAUAACCUUCGCAUGUUGGUUAUAUUAAAGGUUCAACGGUAAAAGAUGGGCAUGCAUUCUAUUAGCUAGAUGGUAAGGUAACGGCUUACCAUGGCAACGAUAGGUAGGGGUCCUGAGAGGGAGAUCCCCCACACUGGUACUGAGACCCGGACCAGACUCCUACGGGAGGCAGCAGUGAGGAAUAUUGGACAAUGGGCGCAAGCCUGAUACAGCCAUGCGGCGUGCAGGAAGAAGCAUCUAUGGUGUGUAAACUGCUUUUGUACGGGAAGAAACACCCCGACGUGUCGGGGCUUGACGGUACUGUAAGAAUAAGGAUCGGCUAACUCCGUGCCAGCAGCCGCGGUAAAAC
rnacentral:rRNA from 1 species